rfam:Phlebotomus papatasi Contig14.125, whole genome shotgun sequence.
AAAACUGCCCUUUUGAGGGCCACAAAAUACAUUUCAUAAAGAGUUUU